rnacentral:tRNA from 1 species
GGAGAGGUGUCCGAGUGGCUUAAGGAGCACGCCUGGAAAGUGUGUAUGGGUUAAUCCCCAUCGAGGGUUCGAAUCCCUCUCUCUCCG